rnacentral:rRNA from 1 species
CCUACGGGAGGCAGCAGUGAGGAAUAUUGGUCAAUGGACGCAAGUCUGAACCAGCCAUGCCGCGUGCAGGAAGACGGCUCUAUGAGUUGUAAACUGCUUUUGUACGAGGGUAAACGCAGAUACGCGUAUCUGUCUGAAAGUAUCGUACGAAUAAGGAUCGGCUAACUCCGUGCCAGCAGCCGCGGUAAUACGGAGGAUUCAAGCGUUAUCCGGAUUUAUUGGGUUUAAAGGGUGCGUAGGCGGUCGGAUAAGUUAGAGGUGAAAUCCCGAGGCUCAACUUCGGCAUUGCCUCUGAUACUGGUCGGCUAGAGAGGAGUUGCGGUAGGCGGAAUGUAUGGUGUAGCGGUGAAAUGCUUAGAGAUCAUACAGAACACCGAUUGCGAAGGCAGCUUACCAGGCUACUUCUGACGUUGAGGCACGAAAGCGUGGGUAGCAAACAGGAUUAGAUACCCGGGUAGUC